rnacentral:piRNA from 1 species
ACUGUCAAAAGUGGACUGAGCGG